AUAGUGGAUUGAAUGAGGUCAUUUCCUUUUGGGGGAAUUUGGCCCGGGAGCCCGUGAUGAGAGCUUUCCGGGUGAUGCAGGUCGUGCUGGUUCUUCGGGGCGCGGGUGUCGUGGGUUCCCCCAGGGCGUCCUCAGGGCGAGAAGGGCAUGGGGGGCUCCAGAGGAUGAAGGAAGGCUCCUGGGGCCACAGGUGAGUCUCAGCUCUUCCCCCGGGGCGCCCAGGAGCGGGCUGCGCGCGCGUGGACUGCGUGGCUCCCUGACCCGCUGCAGGUUCCCUGCAGAUCCUCCGGCAGGAUGUGAGCCUCGCGGCGCCCGAGGAAUGGCCGUGUUUGCAGCGCCGGCCUCAGCCCAGGAGCCCAACCCAGCCUGGCCUCCCUCCUGACGCCUCCUCCUCCUGCUCCGUCCGCGGCCACCACCGAAGCAGGUGCCCGUCCCGUCCACCUCGUCCUCCAAGGAGAGUCUGCUGACAGCGACAGUGCAGCUGGUGGUGACAGUCGUCGAGUAUUCAGACACGGAACGCUGUCUUCGGGGUUCGUUUUAUUUUAUUUAAGAGUUUAUUUAUUUAUUCAUGAGAAGCACAGAGAGGCAGAGACACAGGCAGAGGGAGAAGCAGGCUUCCUGCGGGGACCCCAAUGUGGGACUCGAUCCCAGGACCCCGGGGUCAUGCCCUGAGCCGAAGGCAGAUGCUCAACCACUGAGCCACCCGGGCGUCCCUGCCUUCAGGGUUUAAAAUGAAUCAUUCUAUCUAGUUUCUACCAAAGAUUCUUUUAAAAGAAGGUAAAGCAAGACACAACAUUUUAGGGCCAGUUGCCUUCCCGGGAGAGGGGCCGGGUCUGAACACGGGGACCCGACGUGCAGGCCGCCAGGCUCCCGGGUGGGCAGUGAGCCCCACACUCCGGCC
rnacentral:lncRNA from 12 species